GCGAUCCCAAAAUUAAACCCUAGAAAAAAAAAACACACACCUGGUUUUCCCCGAAAUUUUAUCUUUGAUCUCGAUCUCGAGAUCUAUCCUUCUUCAAGAUCGAUGCGAACUCAAAAGGGAGCGGGAUCAAGGCAGUUGAGUUACAAAUAACAUGAAAUGAUCCAAGCGGUGGUUAAUUGGUUCUCCUGGCCCACACAUCGUAUGCCCUCACGAGCACCUGUCUCCCAACUGCAACUGCGCUUGGAUGCUCAUCCUGGCCCCAGAUGUCGGCUGGAGACUGAAGGGGAAGUCAUUCGAGCACAGGAGAUGGCGUCUUGGAGAUAUCCCAGAUUCGAUAGAUGAGACAGAACGGAGGACAGGAUGGCUGUUUGGGCCUUCUUCCCUCGCCAGAUGGCGGCUGGCGACAGGAGGGAAAGUCAUUCAAGCACAGGAGAGGGCGUCUUGGAGAUAUCCCAGAUUAGAUAGAUGAGACAAAACGGAGGAUAGGCCGGCUGUUUGGACCUUCUUCCCUUGCUAGAUGGUGGCUGGCAACUGGAGGGGAAGUCAUUCGAGCACAGGAGAGUAUCUUAGCGAUCCAUGGGAAGUGACAUGCGGGCAGAGUGAGUUGUUUCCGCACGAGUAUUGCCCAAUAAAGUAGAGUACAAAAACAUAACUUCAAAUUUUAAACUUAUGAAUGAUGAAUCUCUGAAGGUAGCUUAGUUGGUUGCCCAAUAAAGUAGAGAUACAUCAUAAAGUUAUGCUUUUGUUUAAGGGUUAAUUUUAGAAAAGUCCCCCUCAACUAUGGGGGCAUGUUAAUCCCCCAUUCCUCCCCCUU